ACGCUUAUGCGUUGUUGGGUAGGGGAGCGUUCUGUAAGCCUGCGAAGGUGUGCUGUGAGGCAUGCUGGAGGUAUCAGAAGUGCGAAUGCUGACAUAAGUAACGAUAAAGCGGGUGAAAAGCCCGCUCGCCGGAAGACCAAGGGUUCCUGUCCAACGUUAAUCGGGGCAGGGUGAGUCGGCCCCUAAGGCGAGGCCGAAAGGCGUAGUCGAUGGGAAACAGGUUAAUAUUCCUGUACUUGGUGUUACUGCGAAGGGGGGACGGAGAAGGCUAUGUUGGCCGGGCGACGGUUGUCCCGGUUUAAGCGUGUAGGCUGGUUUUCCAGGCAAAUCCGGAAAAUCAAGGCUGAGGCGUGAUGACGAGGCACUACGGUGCU
rnacentral:rRNA from 1 species